UGCGCCAGACCUGGGCUCCUGGAGGGCAGCGGGCGCGCCCCGGGCCACUUGGCUGCUUGCAGUGGAGCUCAGCCUGCCUCCUGCCAGCUUCACCGAGUCGCCAAAGCCCGAGCCAGAUUCCUGGGACUGGACUGGACUCGCUCUCCCACUUCGGGUCUUGCGGCGGCGAAGCCAGGUGCAAGCUAGAACUGAAGUCCUCAGUGGUGGGGAAGAAGGCUUGAAGCUUUGGCAGUGCCCAGUCCACUGCACUCUUGGAGUGCUCAGCGCCACUUAGACUGUUUUAUGCUCUGAGCGUCCAUGACAUGUCUGUUGUGGAACAAAAACUAAAAGCUCCAAGAAAAGUCCUUUUCAGCAGUGCUUGCUCUGCGUGCAUCCUGGUGACUGGGCACUUUGAGUAUGUUAUGGGUGGUGAGGCAAUACUGGGAGGAAAUCUCCCAGGGGAAAAGGAAAAAUAGAACAAUAUUUGUAGAUACUCAAAGUGAUGGUGGGAGCUAUGGCUUCGUGUCCAGAUUCCUACCGGGGAAGUGGAAGGACUCAAACCUCUGAAUAUUUUACCUUUCUAUGGGAAAGGAUUGUCUGGGUAAUUAGGUGGUGAAGUCUUGUUGGAAGAAUUAAAUGAGGAAUGUAGGAGUCAAAACUAAGGCACUAAGGCGAGGCUAGACAAAAAGACAGGGGGAUGGGUAAAAAGGUCAAACAGCAAGGCUCAGCCAGCAUUUUGGGAAGAACAAAUUCCCUUCUCUAAGAAUGGUACACUUCUAAAUGAAUAGAUUAUGCAUCAGGGAAAUGUUAAAACUCUAUGUACAAGGGGGGUGUAGUGAACACACGGGCAGGGCACUGGAGGCCUACUGGAGGCACUGGAGGCUAUGAUCUGAAUUUUCUGUUACCCUGGGCCCGUCAGGGAACCUUUGCCUGUCUCCUCUGUGAAAUAUUUUCUUCUUGUUAGUUCUGACAUGCUGUGGUGUGUCUGCUCAGCUUCACCUAAAGAGCCAAUGAGUCCUGUCUUGGACAAAUUUGAUAGGUCUGAAAAGAUCAUGAUUGCCAGACAUUGACCCAACUGUUCUGUCUUACAUCUAUGGAGUUUCUGCCUGCCACACUAAAAUUUCUUCUUCCCCCUCUUCAGCUGUCAAACGCCAAGACACUGUGACAUUUGGUAAAGGGAGGUGGGGAGAGUGCUGGUGCCAGACGGUUGGUUAAACUCUUAGUUCCAGUGACUACCUGACAGGUAAUGAGCAAUAAGGCUAGGUGCCUCUGUUUGCCCAGUCUGUUUAAUGGGAGUAGUAGUAAUAAUUAUCUUGUAGGGUGAUUAUUCAAUCCUUAUAUAAGGAUAAGGAUUAAACAUAUGUAAACUGCCUAACACAAAGUUAUCAUUAAUUGCUGUUCUUUCCAUUGAUGGGAGAUUUCCAUCAGUCUCAGGCUAUCUAGUCCAGAGCUGUUCAACAGAACUUUCUAGACAUUAGACCUAUGUGGCUACGGAGCACUUGCAGUGUGGCUAGUGUGAACUGAGAACUUUAAUUUUUAUUUAAAUAGCCACAUGUGAUGAUCAGUAGCUACCAUGUUGGGCGGUAUAGCAAGACCAUCAUUUCUUUUGAGGAUCACCAAAAAGGGUCAUUUGUUAUCUGUUUUUACAAAUUUUCCAAGAAGGACGAUGUAAUAGUAAGAAGUAAAUUCCUCUGGAUAUUCCCUCUCAUAUGAACAACAUCCAAAAGUUAUUCACUUUUUAUCUAUUGCAGAGAAUUUUGCCUUUAUCAUUUCAUCUGCAGCUCCUAGCACAGAGCCUGGCAUGCAGUUAGCGCUCAAUCAAUAUUAAUCCAUCAUCACAAAGGCUCAAAAGGGAAAAAUUCUCAGUGUGCAGGACAAUCGAAGAAGGCUGAAAUCGUCACCUACUACUGCUUGAGCCUUGAGGUGCUCAAUAACCGUUACCAUAUGAAAUGAAUUCCUUGGCAGAAAGACUACGGGAUCAAGAGGGAAAAAGUGGUUCAGUACUGAAAUUCAGCCUAAAGAGGGCAGAAGAAUGGUUUGAGAAAUGGUGUGUGGAGCAGACAUGGGAAAGGCAGAGGAGAGUGAGAGAACAAGGGCAGGGGAAACACGCGCAAAUAGAUGGGCUUCACCAGCCAGCAAGUUUCCUGCUCUCUGCAGCCCAGCUACAGGGCAGCUUAUCUUGGGUUAUCAAUAUACUCUGCAGAGAUUUUGUUGACUAUCCUAUUUUUCUUUUCAUGAAAAUGAAAGUGCAGUGUUUCAUGGAAUUCUGAGCCAUAGAGUCGCUAAUGUCAUGCAGACAUAGACUCAAAUAUCCCUGUUGUUGAGAUGACUUCUCUGACCAGCAUACCUAAAGCACCAAUCCAUCAUGCUCAACUGCAUUCACCUGUGUCGACUUUCCAUAUGUCAUUAUUUUCUAUAUACACAUAUGUAUAUACACAAUAUACAAAUACUCACAGGUAUGAGUAUAUGUAUGUAUUCUUUCCAAGAGAUUGCAUGCUUCUCAAGGGGAGGAAUUCUGUUUUUAUAGUAUGUUCAGCACUCUGUACCCUGAAUCUAGGAUGAAGUUUGGCAUCGAAUAGAUGGUCAAUAAAUGUUUACUGAAUAUGCAAUGGGUGAAUGAGAGCCAAUGAAUUUUAAAUGAAGUCCUUGAUUAACACCCCCACCACUGUGCAGUUUCAAAUUAUGAGUUGACUUGACAAGUUAUUGGAUAAAAACAAAUUUGGACAAAUUUUUUUUUCACUGAAACUUUAUCGGAAUAUGACUUUUAGGGUUGGUGUAUUGCAGGUGUUUAAGGAACAGAUGAGAAAUUCAUCUCAUUUUGAAAAAUAAAAAUCUUCAUUUAAAUCCAUAUACAAGGGCUUCCUUUUUCUUGGCUACAGUGAGUACAGAAUUAACUCUGGGAUAAUAAAUCCCAGUGACAGGUGCUAAUGGGAAUUAAGCAUGCAAAUCCCCUGCAUAUCCCUCCAGAAAUCUACACCAAGAGAAGUAUGCUAUUUAGCAUGUAGGCUGCUUAGUAAUAAUGUUAUUUACUCUAAGCCAGUAUGGGAAAAGUUUCCAGCUUAAGGCUUAAAUAAAAACAACUGAACAUAUAUUUGAAUUAUAGAAAUAUUUUCCAGGUUUAUUUCUGUCCUUAUGUUUGAUUCCUUACUUUUUGCCUUUGUAUGUGUUUCUAAUAAUAACUUCAUACUAGGAAGGUUAGCAAGAAAAAAGGAUGAUUUUAGUGAACAAUAGGAUGAUGUGGGGGAAACUUUUUCUUAAGUAGGAGUUGGGGGCCCAGAAACUUCAGACAACAUUCUUGCUAGACACAAACUAAGGAGAGCCAGUUCCUAUUCAGUUGAUCAACCCACCUUCUCAGCCCCAAGAAAGAGCUGGCCUGCCAUAAGCGUACACACCCUGGAACUUUAUGCUUUUUAUGAAUUAUAUCAGAUGAAACUUACUUAUGUGCAAUUGAAAGAAACCCAACUUAAGACAGCUUAGGCAAAAAGUGAAAUUAUUCCUAUGCAUAACUCAAAAUUGAUGGAUUAAAAACCUAGACUAAUACUGGCUAACAUUUACUGAUCGCUGGCUGUGUGUCAUGCACUAUUCCCAGGUCUUUCCGUAGAUUAUCUCAUGUAAUUCUCACAUUGGGGAUUAAAUUAUAGUGCUAUUAUUGUCUUAGUCUGUUUUGUGCUGAUGUAAUAGAAUACCGCAGACUGGUUAAUUUAUUAAAAAAAAAAAAACACAGGAACUUAUUUUAUUACAGGCCUGGAGACUGGCAAAUCUAAGAUCUGUGAACUAGUAACUGACAAUGACGUUCUUGAUGGUGGAGGGGGAAAAGGGAUGGUGAGGGAAGCAUGAGGUGACCAGCUCUCCUCCUUUUUUUAGAAACCCACUUCCAUGAUAACAAAACCAGUCUUGAGGUAAUGGCCUUAAUCCAUUCAGGAGACUGGUGCUUGCCCCACCCCCAUCAAACUCCUCCCAUUAGGCCCUGACUCUCACCCUACCCAUUGGGGAUAUUUCCAACAGAAAUUUUUGGGGAGCACAUUCAAACCACAGCAACUAUUAUCCCUAUGUUAUAUGUGAGGGAAAAGAGUGGUUAGAUUACUUGCCCCAAGGUCAUACUAGGCUAGCACUUAUUUAGUGCCUGAAGGGGUCAUAUUCUAAAUGCAAGAACUUAAACAUUCAUAGGACUCAGUCCUCCUCUCCCACCCCAAUAGCUUGGUUCUGCUGUCCUCUGAUUUGGAUUUGGUCUCCUCAUGGAUUUUGUGAUCUCUAUGCUCUGAUUCCUGGAAGUUCUAGGUUUACAUUGUCUUCAUCAUGACCAAUCUCAGCACAAAGAGCAUCCUCAUUCUGAGAUGGCCAAGAAAAUGUAGACUUAUGUCUCCAGCCUAUCUUGUUUCACUUACCAAUAAUUGAGGGAAUCACCAUGGCCAGAUGGUUGGAAUAAGCUCAAUGGCAACAUCUAAGGCAUGUGCCAAUUUUUUUUUACACUGGAAAAUUGGAUUGAGAGUGGGCAGAAGGUGUCCCUCAUAAAGAAAAGUCAAUAUGUGGAGAUGGAAGAUUAAUGCAAAGAAUAUAUACCAAGAGAAUGGAUGUAGGAAAGGCAGAACAACAGAUUACCUCCCCCUCCUUUUUUUUUUGUGCUGUGUGGAAAUUAGUUCUUCCUGUUUACUUUUGAGCCACAACACAUCAUUGUGGCAAAUGAAGAGCUUUGCUUAAGAAUGACUAAAAAACAGGUAAUUCCUUGUAGAUUACUUUUACUGUUAAAUGGCAGAGUUGAGGCCAAUUCAAUUCAGAAAACUUUCAUUUGGCUCCUAUUAUAUUGAGAACCCACUCCAGGGCUCCUGAAGAAUACACAUGAGUAAUAAUCCUUGGGCAUCAAGGCUUUACCAUCUUACAGACAAUAUAGAUGAAUCAAUGAAAGAAUUCUAAGUAAAGGUCAAAAAUAUUGUGACAAUGUAAGAACAUGAUAUACUUUUAACCGUGGGAGUCUGGGAAAAGACACACCUGAAAAUAAGACUGACAUAUUCAUAACAGUAGUGCCAUAUGGCGCUUAAUGGGUCUUUCUCCAACAAUAUGAAAUCUGGGAUAGGUAGUCCAGGGCCAAUGUGGGAGGUCAGUUCUGCUCUUUUCAUGACUUGGCUUCAUGUCCCCUAAAGGGUGGCUUUUGUUUUAUUUAUCUGCCUUUGGCUUUUCUACCUCUUGACAUUAUGGGCUCUUUUGAGGCAGGGUAAAUAAAGAACACGGCCAGGGGGAUGUUGUGAGAUUAGAUGCCUUCACAAUAACUUUUCUGGUAGCCCUUAGCCCAAGUAAUUUUAAUUCUCUUGAUCUCCUGUCAUCAAAUGGUCCCUUUAGAAUAAUCCCAAUCAUAGGUGGUGACCAAUAAUGGAUACUGUGAAUGCUGGCCAGAUCAUCUAUGGUUGGCACAACUCUCUGGGAGGAAAGGGACAGAAAUAAAAGACAUUAAAAGAGUUAAGGAGUACUUUCAAGAAUCACAGGUAGAUGGAUAACAGCUCUAGUGUUGGUUGAGUAAAGGGGGAGGGUUAUGUUUUCUAUCAUGCUGGGAAAUAAAAAAAUGGAAAGGACUCCACUUAUGGACCAUUAGUGUAUAUUCAUUGAACUUUUGUGAUGUAUGUAGCACUGAGGGAACGUUUCAAGGAGUUGGAUUGUAGAGACAAUAUUAAUAAAAAGUGAAAACAGAAAAGAAGAAGAUGACAGACAAGCUUACGAAGAGAGAAAAAGAAGAAUGAAAGAAAGAAGCAUACAAAGAACAAAGGAAGAAAGGGAAAGAAGAAUAAGAAAAAGAAAUAAAAGAGCAAAUAAAUAAAA